UUUCGGGAAACUAAGAACGUUUUUACAUUUAGUUUGGAAUUCUGGACCAAAUUACUGCUAAAAAAAAGAAUUGGAUGCUAAUUAAUGGAAAGAUUUGAAAAGAAAACUAAACCGGACUAUUGGAUUGACGAAUUGGUGAAACAAAAAGGGAAUCUAACAACUAUUAUGUGCGGAGCUAUGUGCAAUAAUGAUUUUGGAGCGUUUGAGCAAAGAAGUAAUCUGGCAAGAAGAAAAUCAAAACGUCUUGCCUUAAAAUACGCAACACAGGUCGACGAAGGAAACAAAAAUGACAUCUUGACGCCUACGCUUCAAGGAUUCCUCAAUAGAGUGUUUUCCAACAAUAUGAUUUUUGUUUAGCUGCAUAUGGCAAACUAACAUAGCUGAAAGAAUGGAAAUAUAAUUGAUGCAACAGA